GUUCCAUCAAGAUAUGAACAAUGAUUGAGAGGAGGGUGAUCACAUUGUGUACAAGCCACCCUCCAGAUUCUCAGGAAAAACCAAGGUUGAGGAGGAUGAAGAAGUCAUCGUGUACAAGCUAAGGUCAAGUUCAACGACAUGAACCAAUGUGGAGGAGGAGGACGUCAUCCUCCUCCAACCUCAAGCUUCUCUUCAAGAAACUCAAGAGCCGAGAAUAAUAGCUCAUCCUCAACCUACACUUCAAUAAAGAAUGGCCUUCGUCCCAGAUGGCUUCCCAACAUUUGAUAAAGCUAAGGAAAUCAUGAGGGAAGAUGAAAGGUGUGGCCAUAAACACAAACAAAACAAGAUUGUAAAUCUUAGACAAGUAAUAUAGAGUUUAGACCUUGUAUACCUUUGUUUACAAUAGUUUUAAUGCCUAAUUUUAACAUAGUAGUCCAUGUUUUACAAUCGUUUGACAUUUUAUCACUAGUUACACCACUUUUGUUAUCAAUCUUGUAUGGUGCAACACUGUACGCAAAUGUCUAGUAUAUAGAAAAGAAAACCAUUUCAAAACACACUAGAAUAUUUUGAUAGUCCUCCUCAAUAUAUUCCACAAGUAGCCAGAAAAAACGGUAAAUGAUAACAUAGGUGAUGUCAUGUAGCCAUCCUUGUAUAUAGCAUAUGUGGUGGUUAUUGUUUUAAGACAACAUAUAUGGUAUUAUCGUUUUUACUGUUUCAAAAAAUGUAGGCAAUUUUCACAAAAUGGAACCAUUCCAUCAAGAUGUGAACAAUGAUUAAGAUGAGGGUGAACACAUUGUGUACAAGCCACUCUCCAGAUUCUCAGGAAAACCCAAGGUUGAGGAGGAUGAAGAAGUAAUCGUGUACAAGUUUGGGUCAAGUUCAACGACAAUGACAAAUGUGGAGUAGGAGGAGGAAGUGAUCCUCCUCCAAUCUUAAGCUUCUCUUCAAGAAACUCAAGAGCCAGCAACAAUAGCUCCUCCUCAACCGACACUUCAACAAAGAAUGGCCUUCAUCCCAGAUGACUUCCCAACAUUUGAUAAAGCUAAGGAAAUCCUGAGCGAAGAUGAAAGGUGUGGCCGUAAACACAAACCAAACAAAACUGUAAUUCUUAGACAAGUAAUAUAGAGUUUAGAUCUUAUAUACCUUUGUUUACAAUGGUUGUAAAGCCUAAUUUUAACACAGUAGUCCAUGUUCUACAAUCAUUUGACAUUUUAUCAAUAGUUACACCACUUCUGUUAUCAACCUUGUAUGGUGCAACACUGUACGCAAAUAUCUAGUAUAUAGAAAAGAAAACCAUUUCAAAACAGACAAGAAUAUUUUGAUAGCCC
rnacentral:lncRNA from 1 species